AUGCCUCUUCUUAAUCUGAUGACAUCUAACAAUCCUAAAAUGGACUGGUGCAACACUUUGUGCCUUAACUAUGGACAUAAUGUGACUUUUAAUUUUGAUUAUACAUUGUCUUGGUUUAAUGACUAUUUUGCUACACAGAAGAAGGAACCAAAAAAUCCAGAUGAGAGGGUACAGAUGCAUCUAACUUCAUCCAUCACCACUGCUGGAAAAAAACAGUAUGACAGUUCAGUUCAGUUCAGUUUAGUCGCUCAGUCGUGUCCAACUCUUUGCAACCCCAUGAAUAGCAGCACGCCAGGCCUCCCUGUCCAUCACCAUCUCCCAGAGUACACUCAGACUCACGUCCAUCGAGUCCGUGAUGCCAUCCAGCCAUCUCAUCCUGGGUCGUCCCCUUCUCCUCCUGCCCCCAAUCUCUCCAAGCAUCAGAGUCUUUUCCAAUGAGUCAACUCUUCGCAUGAGGUGGCCAAAGUACUGGAGCUUCAGCUUUAGCAUCAUUCCUUCCAAAGAAAUCCCAGGGCUGAUCUCCUUCAGAAUGGACUGGUUGGAUCUCCUUGCAGUCCAAGGGACUCUCAAGAGUCUUCUCCAACACCACAGUUCAAACGCAUCAAUUCUUCGGCGCUCAGCCUUCUUCACAGUCCAACUCUCACAUCCAUACAUGACCACCAGAAAAAACCAUAGCCUUGACUAGACAGACCUUAGUCGGCAAAGUAAUGUCUCUCCUUUUUUAGUCCUGCACUUUUCAUCUGAGGACAGCUCAUUGCUAUUUCUGACCACAUCUCUAUGUUCUUCUGGCAACAAGUAUUGUUGCUAAGAUGACAAUCUAAAGGAGCUCCAACCAAACUAACAGUCUACUCUCUAGGAGACAGAUGUCCCUUUUUUUAAAAGUUGCAAUAUGCUGAUUUUCAAAGCAUUUAUUUAACACAACAAUCAAAUUUUAACUAUAGAGUUAAAUCCAAAUCUUACAUUGGCUGCAAAGUUUCUACCUAAGCAAUAACACAUGAAGACUCCUGCUAACAUAUGUAUUUCAGUCACCUUAAUUGCUUAAAGAUCAAUUUUGGUUUACAGCAAUGGAAGUGAACCACUGAUUUCAUUCUCAGCUCACUGGUCUUAAGAUUACUAUCUCAUUUUUGACGAAAACAGAUGAAAAAUCACUGGAGGCAGGAUAAGGAUUCUAACAUUGUGUCUCUUAAAAUAGCUGCUUUUAGACUGUUUCCACAGAUUUGUCUCCAUGGAAAUUGAGUAGGAAAGGUCACCACAAGCCAAAAGUAAGCAGUUUCCCAUUUAAAGUCACUUGUUGGUUGUCAGAAGGGACCUGGCUCUGAAAUUCAGGGUGCUAUCACAGCAUAAGUCUAUGAGAGUUUGAGAGCCUAGUACAUAAAUACAUGAACAAGAAGGGUUUUUUGUUUGCUUUGUCAAUUCAGUUUUACUUUCAGAAGUUUUCCUUUGCAAUUACCAGAGAGAAAAAACUGAUCCUGGUCUUCAAACUUUGGUGAAUAUGUGAGUGUAAUGUUUAGCCUUAUAUUUAUCUCCUUUAUUUGAAAGGCAUUAAGUUUAAUGAGCACUGUAAUUUAGUUUCCCAAAGAGGAAUCAUUCCUUACUACAUACAAAGUCAUAAACUUCAAAGUAUUCUGGAAAAACAUUUUUACAAUCACCAUGGUUAUAUCUGAAUUUGCAGCAAGGAAUGCCAUUUUGCCAAAAAUAUGAAAUAAUUUAUUAUGCUGGCAGUAUAAGAGCAUAUUAAUUAGGUGUUAAUAAUUGUUUCAUUCUUGCUUUAAAAUACUUUGGAAUCCAGAAAGAAAUAAAAUAUACCCAUUUAUUUACUUAUUUAAACAUGAAAUUUGAUUUAUUUAUUAAUUUUUACUUUACAAUAUUCUAUUGGUUUUGCCAUACAUCAACAUGAAUCCGCCAUGGGUGUACAAGUAUUCACCAUCCUGAACCCCUCUCCCACUUUCCUCCCCAUACCAUCCCUCUGGGUCAUCCCAGUGCACCAGCCCCGAGCAUCCUGUAUGAUGCAUCAAACCUGAACUGGCGAUUCAUUUCACAUGAUAUUUUACAUGUUUCAGUGCCAUUCUCCCAAAUCAUCCCACCCUUGCCCUCUCCCACAGAGUCCAAAAGACUGUUCUAUACAUCUGUGUCUCUUUUGCUGUCUCACAUACAGGGUUAUCAUUACCAUCUUUCUAGAUUCCAUAUAUAUGCAUUAGUAUGCUGUAUCA
rnacentral:lncRNA from 1 species